rnacentral:rRNA from 1 species
AGAUAAUAGAUACCCUGGUAGUCCACGCCCUAAACGAUGUCUACUAGUUGUUGGUGGAGUAAAAUCCAUGAGUAAACGCAGCUAACGCGUGAAGUAGACCGCCUGGGGAGUACGGUCGCAAGAUUAAAACUCAAAGGAAUUGACGGGGGCCCGCGCAAGCGGUGGAUUAUGUGGAUUAAUUCGAUGCAACGCGAAAACCUUACCUGGCCUUGACAUGCCACUAACGAAGCAGAGAUGCAUUAGGUGCCCGUAAGGGAAAGUGGACACAGGUGCUGCAUGGCUGUCGUCAGCUCGUGUCGUGAGAUGUUGGGUUAAAGUCCCGCAACGAGCGCAACCCUUGCCAUUAAUUGCCAUCAUUUAGUUGGGCACUUUAAUGGGACUGCCGGUGACAAACCGGAGGAAGGUGGGGAUGACGUCAAGUCCUCAUGGCCCUUAUGGCCAGGGCUUCACACGUAAUACAAUGGUCGGUACAGAGAGUUGCCAACCCGCGAGGGGGUAGCUAAUCUCAGAAAGCCGAUCGUAGUCCGGAUUGUUCUCU